rnacentral:rRNA from 1 species
UACGGAGGGGACUAGCGUUGUUCGGAAUUACUGGGCGUAAAGCGCACGUAGGCGGAUUUGUAAGUCAGGGGUGAAAUCCCGAGGCUCAACCUCGGAACUGCCUUUGAUACUGCAAAUCUCGAGUCCGGAAGAGGUGAGUGGAAUUCCUAGUGUAGAGGUGAAAUUCGUAGAUAUUAGGGAAGAACACCAGUGGCGAAGGCGGCUCACUGGUCCGGUACUGACGCUGAGGUGCGAAAGCGUGGGGAGCAAACAGG